rnacentral:lncRNA from 1 species
GGGCUGUGCUGGACCUGCAUAUGGAUAUGGAUCAAGUCAAGAGAAAUUUCAACAUUCUUCACGUGGAAGCUUUCAAUUCGGAGAAAAAGAAGAGUGGCAUAAUAAUAAAGAACAUUACUGAUGGAACAAUGCAUGCACAUUGGAAAGGUGCUGCAGAGAUGAUUUCAAGAAUGUGCUCCCAUUACUACGAUGCAGAAGGGAACAUGAAAACUCUAGAGAAAUCAGACAAGGAAGAAUGUGAUCGGAUAAUUGAAGGAAUGGCUGCCAGCAGCCUUCGAUGUAUCGCCUUUGCACACAAGCAAUUGCCAAAAGCUGAGCAGGAGGAUCAUGAACAAAUACAUGGAAGUAUUCCAGACAACUCUUUCGUUCUUUUGGGCUUCAUCGGCCUAAAAGAUCCAUGUCGACCUGGUGUAAAGAAAGCUGUGGAAGAUUGCCAAAAUGCUGGUGUGAAUAUCAAGAUGAUCACAGGUGACAAUGUGUUCACUGCAAAAGCAAUAGCCACAGAAUGUGGGAUUCUUAAUCCUAAUCUGGCAGUAGAAGAAGGAGCAGUCAUAGAAGGUGAGGAAUUUCGCAACUUAACAGAUGAAGAACGUAUGGAGAAAGUGGGGAAAAUUCGCGUGAUGGCGAGAUCAUCCCCUUUUGACAAACUUUUAAUGGUGCAGUGCUUGAGAAAGAAAGGUCAUGUGGUCGCGGUCACAGGUGAUGGCACGAAUGAUGCACCAGCUUUAAAGGAAGCAGAUAUAGGACUUUCUAUGGGUAUACAGGGCACUGAAGUGGCUAAAGAGAGUUCAGAUAUUGUCAUUUUGGACGAUAAUUUUGCUUCAGUUGUCACUGUUCUGAAAUGGGGAAGAUGUGUUUAUAACAACAUUCAGAAAUUCAUCCAAUUUCAGCUCACAGUAAAUGUGGCGGCGCUUGUGAUCAACUUUGUAGCAGCCGUUUCAGCUGGUGAGGUACCACUCACAGCAGUGCAGUUGCUAUGGGUAAAUUUGAUCAUGGACACAUUAGGGGCACUAGCACUUGCAACAGAGAAGCCAACCGAGGAACUCAUGAAGAAGCUACCAGUCGGUAGGACUGAGCCACUUAUCACCAACAUUAUGUGGAGAAAUCUAAUGGCUCAGGCCUUGUAUCAGAUUUUUGUUCUAUUGACCUUCCAAUUCAAAGGAGAAUCAAUCUUUGGCGUCAACACGAGGGUAAAUGUUUGAUUUUCAACACAUUUGUUCUUUGCCAAGUGUUCAACGAAUGUGUUGUUCUAUUGACCUUCCAAUUUAAAGGCGAAUCAAUCUUUGGCGUCAACAAGAGGGUAAAUGAUACUUUGAUUUUCAACACAUUUGUUCUUUGCCAAGUGUUCAACGAAUUUAAUGCACGUAAUCUGGAGAAGAAGAACGUUUUUGAGGGAA